rnacentral:rRNA from 1 species
UUCCGGUUGAUCCUGCCGGACCCUACUGCUACCGGGGUGGGACUAAGACAUGCGAGUCGUGCGUCUCUAAGCUAUGGUAGAGACGCGGCGUACGGCUCAGUAACACGUGGCUAACCUACCCUUAGGACGGGGACACCCCCGGGAAACCACGCGCAGGCACGUAAUCAACUUUCUCGACACGCUCAAAGCAUGGCUAUGUACAUAUAGUUCGUGUAAAACCGCUUUCCUUGACGAAAAAACCUAAUCUAAGAAGCUUUGAGCCAACCAUUCACGGUGACUAUCACCGCCAACAGAAAUAAACAUGAGCUCUGGCGUGGCCCAAAACUGGGGUUAAUACCCGAUGGGUGAGGAGGCCUGGAACGGUUCUUCACCGAAAAGACGUUGAGACCAUGCUUUUCAACGUUGCCUAAGGAUGGGGCCGCGUCCGAUCAGGUUGUUGGUGGGGUAACGGCUCACCAAGCCUAUAACCGGUACGGGCCGUGAGAGCGGGAGCCCGGAGAUGGGCACUGAGACAAGGGCCCAGGCCCUACGGGGCGCAGCAGUCGCGAAAACUCCGCAAUGCGCGAAAGCGUGACGGGGCUACCCCGAGUGUCGUCCGCUGAGGAUGACUUUUCCCCGGUGUAAGGAGCCGGGGGAAUAAGGAGAGGGCAAGUCUGGUGUCAGCCGCCGCGGUAAUACCAGCUCUCCGAGUGGUAGGGACGAUUAUUGGGCUUAAAGCGUCCGUAGCCGGCCCGGCAAGUCUCCCGUUAAAUCCAGCGACCUAAUCGUUGGGCUGCAGGAGAUACUGUUGGGCUAGGAGGCGGGAGAGGCCGACGGUAUUCCCGGGGUAGGGUGAAAUCCUAUAUCCUGGAGGACUACCAUGGCGAUGCUGUCGCUAGAACGCGCUCGAUGGUGAGGGACGAAAGCUGGGGGAGCGACCGAUUAGAUACCGGGUAGUCCCAGCUGUAAACGAUGGCGGCUUAGGUG